rnacentral:tRNA from 1 species
GUCUAUAGCUAAGUCGGUAAAGAACCUGCCUGCAAUGCAGGAGACCCAGGUUCAAUUCCUGGGUUGGGACG